GAAGAUGUGCAUAUUUAGCAUCUUAAAAGUUAGAAAGAAGCACUUGUGAUGGCACCUGAGGUAACUGCAGUGGUGCUACAUCUUUAACUGUGUCAAUGGAUGGAGCAACAGUCACUUAUUUCCUUACACUCCCUGCCAUUCCCAGUAUCUAACUUUAAAGAAUGCAAGCAUAAGCAAUUAUUGAACGUCUUAUCCUUCUGCUCUGUCCUCAUUUGUUCAGUGAAUGAGAGUGGAAGCCUCUUUGAGCUCCUUUGAGAAAUGCACCAGGGCCAUGGAAGAUGGGAGAAGAGCUUUGCCUGGGAACUCUACCUAAAAAGUAAUUUUUUCUCCAUUAACCCUGUAAGCUUUAUAAUGUAGCUUUCAUUAAGAAAGCUAAAACCAGCAACAGCUAGAUGAACUCACUCUUCUAAUCUUAAAAAAAAAGUAAAUGUGUGUACAACAAGCAAUGAUCUAAAUAUUACAAAAAUUUGUAUGAAGUAAGUGAAAGUAAAGUGUAAUGCUGUUGAAAAAUGAGUUUUGCUGCAACUUAAGCGUAGAAGUUUGCAGACUUUUUUUGCUUGGGUUUUUCAUUUGGUCACUGCUUCAGGAGUCCCAGGUUUGAAAUUGUGUGGCAGCCACCCCAUAUUUAGACCAGAGGGAUCAGAAGGGAGGCCUUAAUAGCCAUUGUUUCAGAGCCCUAUGGGAACAGGUCUGACAGACUUGUUUUCUGGAGUCUGUGAGGCCAUUGUUAGUGUGCUGAUAGAGGGGAAAAGUCUUUGCAUUUUUCUAUAUUCACUUGUUUUCUCUUCUGAAUUAUUGCAGUAUUCUCAUCAGUUAGCAGACAGGCCACCAUGCCUUGCUUGGUGAGCUUUCAGCAUGCCUUGUCCUCUGUUUCUCAGGCCAGAGGUGCCCCUUUGAGUUCUCACACAUCUGUCCUUUCUUCUUUGGUCUGACCAGGUGUGGCAGUGGUGUUUUGGUGGUGUUUGGUUGGUAGAUUUUAUUGUGUUUUCUUAGCAAGCCUAGACAAUCACAGCCGUAAGUGAGGGUGGUAAAAUAUGUGGAGAACUGGAACAUCUGAAAAUCAGGUCCUUAAUUCAUGGUCAUGACUGUCAAAACUUCUGAACUGGUUUUGAUGCCAUAAUAGACAAUUACAUGGUCUUGGAAGCAGUUCUAAUGACAGUAAUUUUUCACUAACUUCUUUUUCAUGCUCACCCUCAAAUUCUCAUUUAAGAGCCUGGCAUGUAGAAAUUUUAAUUUGUAUUUCUGAAACCUCUAAAAAUCUGGUUUGUACAGCUGUUUUUUUCUGUGGUUUUCCCUAGAAAAUACUUUGUUACCUUUACUUUUCACCCAUAUGACAAAUAAAUGAGUUUUAAUUAUUGUUUUUGUAGGGAUUGAAUCUCUUUCAUGUUUUGAUUUUUAAGUUGAAAUUGAGUAAAUAAAUUAAAUGCAAUCUCCACGUCAAUAGAAAGCAAGGAAGAUUAUGAAAUAAGGCUUUACAUGUGUAGCUUUGCAACAAUAGAAUAAAAAGUGGAAUAAUGAACUGUAAAUGUAUCUAAUUACAUAAAUAAUGCAUUUGUGUAAUUGUCUAGUAGGGGUGUGCUAAUGAAACAAUUAUUUUUAAUUGUAGGAUGCUUGAUUGUUUCAGAAAUAUAAUUGAUUCUAAUAAAGAAUCAGUUAAAUGUUGGUAGUAAUUGUAUUUAUUAAAUAUAAUAUAUUAUUAUAGUUUAGAAACGUUUUCAAAAAAGGAAGUAUUAAAGGACUAUACUGGUGUUAAGUGUUCAUACCAUUGGGCUUACUGUAAUAGUGCACAAUAAAAAAGAAAUGUGUUUUAUUCUCAUCUUCCUUUGUUAUCUCAUCUGAUCUCUGAGGCUAAACAAGGGUUUAGAUUUGAUUAGUAUUCAUGAGUCUUAGCUUGCUGCAUGA